rnacentral:rRNA from 1 species
GACGAACGCUGGCGGCGUGCUUAACACAUGCCAGUCGAACGGAAAGGCCCUGCUUUUGUGGGGUGCUCGAGUGGCGAACGGGUGAGUAACACGUGAGUAACCUGCCCUUGACUUUGUGAUAACUUCAGGAAACUGGGGCUAAUACCGGAUAGGAGCUCCUGCUGCAUGGUGGGGGUUGGAAAGUUUCGGCGGUUGGGGAUGGACUCGCGGCUUAUCAGCUUGUUUGUGGGGUAGUGGCUUACCAAGGCUUUGACGGGUAGCCGGCCUGAGAGGGUGACCGGCCACAUUGGGACUACGAUACGGCCCAGACUCCUACGGGAGGCAGCAGUGGGGAAUAUUGCACAAUGGGCGGGAGCCUGAUGCAGCAACGCCGCGUGCGGGAUGACGGCCUUCGGGUUGUAAACCGCUUUCGCCUGUGACGAAGCGUGAGUGACGGUAAUGGGUAAAGAAGCACCGGCUAACUACGUG